rnacentral:sRNA from 1 species
GGCGGUACUAGUUGAGAAACUAGCUCUGUAUCUGGCGGACCCGUGGUGGAACUGUGAAGUUCGGAACACCCGGCCGCAACCCUGGGAGAGGUCCCAGGGUU